rnacentral:tRNA from 1 species
GCUGAAGUGACUCAGUUGGGAGAGCAUUAGACUGAAAAUCUAAAGGUCCCUGGGUCAAUCCUGGGCUUUAGUA